rnacentral:lncRNA from 1 species
GAAGCAUCAAUAAUGAGCAAGGGAGAUUCUUAACCGACCUCCAGGUUCAAAGAUUUAGACUUUCUCAGCAUGGAUUUCAUCUUCCUGCUUUGCUGAACCAGGCUGAUUUGCUCAAGUUAAAGUUAGAAAGUGGCUGAAUGGAAGGAUUUCUUCUCAAGUUGCAGGGAAUAAGUAGGACAAGAUGAAGAUCCUAAUCCUGACUGUGGCCAUCUUGAAUUUUGUCUCUCACUUCCCGGUCUUAAGCACUGAUAUCACACUCUUCUUAUGCUUUUGGUUAACAAUUCAAGGACAUAGAUCUUCAUUCUUUCCUGACACAGGCUUUUAAAAUGGGUCUGUUUUCACUUUGCUGAUUUUUCUUCAAUAAAUCUUUUUGACGGCAACUGAUUUACUGUGUAUGGAUGUGUUUGAUAUUC